AAAAUCCAGAUAACACAGAUCUGUGUUAAAAAAUUACACAGGUUGUGGAACAGUUCCGGCUUUCAAAAGUGGGUAAUUUUUUUACACAGAUCUGUGUAAAAAGUUACACAGAUUUUCGAUCAGCCUUCCUUUCAAAUCUGGGUGAAAAAGAUAAGAUGGCGUUUUCCUGCAACAUUGACGAAACUUGACUUUUUUGACGAAAUGACCAGUUGUUGCAUCGUAAUUGAACUGGAAUUGGCCCCAUUGCAGAGAAAUGAUUACUCGAAAAUUUAUAAUGCUCCCGUUGAUCGUCUUGCAUGCACGCCGAUUCCGCCUGAAUUUACCACCUCGGAACAUCUCCGGACUGGAAAAACUGGUGCUUCAAGGUCAGCGGCAUUAUCUCCCGUGGAAGCUGCUCUACGACAGGAGGACAUUUAUCAGGUCGAUUUUGUGACGGUGAAGCACUUUUUUAAAAUAGAUUGUAGCCUUAUAUUUAGUUAAUGAAAUGUAUAAGAGAAACUUGAAAUAAUAAUUCAUGGCAACAUGUUCCUUUUUCUUUCCAUUUUAAUAUAAAUUCCUAGUUUAAAAGAAGAAAUGAAUGCAAUUUUGUACCCAGAAUCUGUGUAAAAUAUUACCCAGAUCUGUGUAAAAUUUUACACAGAUUGUCGAUUAAAAAAUUACACAGAUUUGACAGACAACGGUUGUACACAGAUCUGUGUACAAAGCUUCUACACAGAUUCUGUGUAUUCCAGGUUUUGGGCGAU